AAAGCAGAGAUAUGUGUGUAUCGGAAUUGUACUUUAAAUGCACUUUAAUCCGAAAGAAUUCUCUGCAAAACUGAUUUUUGGUGAAAAUGGGCAGUUGAGUUUCAUGCAAUCUAUUGAUUAUCAACAAUCAUUUUCUCCACAUCU